GGUGGAGUCAAUGCAAACAUGGACGUCUUCCUCCUCUACUUAUCUGACAGCAGAGAUGACAGCAGAGAAGACUGAAGUCAGUUUAACAUGAUGGACUGUAGGACAGGACUGCUGCUUUUAACUCUCUGUUAUGCAGUUGUUGAUGGAGUGACUCUGACUGAGUCUGGACCUGUGGUUAAAAGACCUGGAGAAUCCCACAAACUGACCUGUUCAGCCUCUGGAUUCACUUUCAGCAGCUAUGCCAUGAACUGGAUCAGACAGGCUCCUGGAAAAGGACUGGAGUGGAUUGCUUGGAUCCACCCCAGUGACAGCAGCAGGAUCUACUACUCAGAGUCAGUGAAAAACCGCUUCACCAUCUCCAGAGACAACAGCAGAGAGCAGGUGUAUCUGCAGAUGAACAGUCUGAGAGCUGAGGAUUCUGCUGUUUAUUACUGCGCUCGAGAGACACAGUGACUCAAGAGACACAAACUCUGUACAAAAAC